GAAAUGCAGAAUGCUAGCAACGCUGAUCAUUUUUGUUGUGGAUCUCAUGCUUGCAUCAGCUGUUGUGAUUACCUUAUAUUCUGUUUGCCUAAUAGCAGCCACCAGUAUUUUUAUCUCAGUCAUUUUUUAUAUUUACAAAAGAGAGAUGAAAAUAAAUUGUGACUUCAACCAAGAUAGGACUCGAGCAAUGCUGGAUUCUACCCAUGCUACUGGGGAGAUGCCUGCCGACCACGUGGAGCAGGUCAGCUGCAGGCUGCUUCCUGGCCAUUUUGCAGCUGUGCAAGAAAAGGCCUUUCUGUGCAAGGAGAGCAAUGCUGUCUUCUACCCCAGAAGGAGCCCAGCACAGUGGAAGAACCACAGAAGAAGGCUUGGCAUAUCCCAUCCACAACCAACCAACAGUUCUUUCUUCAGCUUGCAAGCCAGGCCCAAGAAAGAAGGAGAAAUAUAGCAGCCAUUUGUUGAAUUCAUCAAAUGAAAUCAAUCUUCCGUCUCACCUUGUUCUGAAACAUCAGCUGCCACCUGGACAUUUGAAAUGGCCUAAUUUCUUUCCAGUGUUGUUGUUCUACAAAGCUAAUUUCCACAUACCAGGCAGAACAAUCCUUACAACAUCUAAGAAAAGUGUUUGCCAGUCCUCAGCUCAGUGCUGUCCAGUGACCUCCCAUCUCAGAGAAGCCAAGGAUUUUCAAGACCUUCAUCUUCAAGACUCUACAUGAAACAUGAAAACACCUUAUCUGCCCACCUCACCUUCCCACACUGCCCCUGCAUGGCACCCUCUUCCUGUGUUACUGACCUGCUAAUGGGGCAUGAGUUGCUCAGGAUCUCAGACAUACUCUUUGCUCACAAUGCGCUGUAUGUACUUUCUAGUUCUUCUCAGAGGUCGUCUCUUGCAGAAGGACUUCCGUGGACAGCCUAAACUAAUGAAUGCAUUCUGUACUCUAUGUAAUCCUUACCAUGGUUUGUUUUGCUUGAUAGCACCUACUCAUACCUGAAUUAUUAUAUAUACAUUUUUGUUUCUUUUCUCCCCUACUAGUAUGUGAAGUCUGAAAGAACAGUGUAUUUCUUUCUUUUGUUCACUGCUCUAAC
rnacentral:lncRNA from 1 species